rnacentral:rRNA from 1 species
UGAAAAAAAGUAAUCUAGAAAAUUAUAUAAGGUUUACCGUACUUAAACCGACACAGGUGAGGUAGCAUCGUUAUGCUAAGACGUAGAGAUAUUUAUUUAAAAGGAACUCGGCAAAUUGGCCUCGUAACUUCGGGAGAAGAGGCGCUUUCUUGAUUAAAGAGAAAGUUGCAAAAAAACGGAAAUAGCAACUGUUUACUAAAAACACAGGUCUUUGCAAACACGUAAGUGGUAGUAUAAGGACUGACUCCUGCCCGGUGCUGUUAUUUUAACUUUUAUAGUAUUUGCUAUAAAACUAAGAACCAGUAAACGGCGGCAGUAACUCUGACUGUCCUAAGGUAGCGAAAUUCAUUGGUCACUAAUUAUGAUCCCGCAUGAAUGGAGUAAUGACUGUUUCACUGUCUCUUAAAUAAUCUCUGUGAAAUUUAUUUGCUCGUGAAGAAGCGAGCGUAUUCUAAAAAGACGGAAAGACCCCGUGAACUUUUACUGUAUCUUUAUAUUGUUCAAGGUUUUCUAUUGUACACUGGAAGUGGUAGUUUAAUUACAUAAGUGAAAGUCCACUCUUUAGUCUACCUAGACUCAUUUUUUUAAUAAAAGACCGUAUAAGGAAGGCAGUUUAUCUGGGGCGGAUUCCUUUUAAAAAGUAACAAAGGAGUGCAAAGGCAAGUUAUACUUUAAAAAAGUAAGCAGUGUAACGGCAAUAAAAACUUGCUUGACUGUAAGAGGUACAUCUCGCACAGGGGUUUAAAAGCCGGCCGUAGUGAUCCGGUGUUUUUUAAUGGACAAGACAUCGCUUAACGAAUAAAAAGUACUCCGGGGAUAACAGGCUAAUGUUCUUCAAGAGCUCAUAUCUAAAAGAACGUUUGGCACCUCGAUGUCGACUCAACGCAACCUGAAGCUGAAGCCGGUUUCAAGGGUUUGGCUGUUCGCCGAUUAAAGCGUUACGUGAGUUGGGUUUAGAACGCUGUGAAGCAGUUUGGUCCCUAUCUUUUAGAAUUUAUUGAAAGUAAACAAAAUGUUUAACUAGUACGAGAGGACCGUUAAGCACUAUCCUCUUAUGAACCUGUUGUCUAAUGGCAUCGCAGGGUAGUAACGAUAGUUCAGAAUAAUUGCUGAAAGCAUCUAAAGCAAGAAAUCUUUUUGUUAUCUUUCUAAACAAAGUGAAAGAACAUCUCUUUGAUAGGUCACGUGUGUUUUUAGCUUAGUGAUACUAAUUU